rnacentral:rRNA from 1 species
GACGAACGCUGGCGGCGUGCUUAACACAUGCAAGUCGUACGGGAAGGCCCUUUCUGGGGUACCCGAGUGGCGUACGGGUGAGUAACACGUGAGUAACCUGCCCACAACUUUGGGAUAACGCUAGGAAACUGGUGCUAAUACUGGGUAUGUGCUCCUGCUGCAUGGUGGGGGGUGGAAAGCUCCGGCGGUUGUGGGUGGACGCGCGGCCUAUCAGCUUGGUGGUGGGGUAGUGGACUACCAAGGCUGCGACGGGUAGCCGGACUGGGAGGGUGACCGGCCACAUUGGGACUGAGAUUCGGCCCAGACUCCUACGGGAGGCAGCAGUGGGGAAUAUUGCUCAAUGGGCGCAAGCCUGAUGCAGAAACGCCGCGUGCGGGAUGACGGCCUUGGGGUUGUAAACCGCUUUCAGCAGGGACGAAGCUUUUUGUGACGGUACCUGCAGAAGAAGCACCGGCUAACUACGUG